GUAUUCAUUUUGGUAGCACAUUUACCAAGAAUUGAAGUGAUACAGAGAAAAUUAGCAUAGUUCCUGUGCAAGCAAAUGCAAAUUAAUGCAGCAUUCCAUAGUAAA
rnacentral:snRNA from 1 species